CAAGGCAAAGGAAUUUUUUUCCCCUUUUACGAUAACAAUAGAAAAUGGAGCAUAAUGGAAAGCCAGAUUGAUCACUUGUUAUUUUUAGGAGAAUAGAAGAGUUUCCUGGAGGAUGUGAUUCUCAGUGUGAAAGAAGAGGUUCUUUUCAACCUCAUGAAAUAGAGAUGGAAGCUGAACUAUACGAGAGAACAGUCAGUACAAGAGUUGUUCAACCCAAACUGAGCCAACCUGAGACCUUCCUGGGGACUUCUCAUACUGUAGUUGAGAGAGGAUUAACAUGGAGAAAUGUG